GUUUCUGUAGUGUAGUGGUUAUCACAUUUGUCUAACACACAAAAAGUCCCCGGCUCGAAACCGGGCGGAAACA